GGGUGAGAAUCCUGUGUUUCGCUUGAUGCCCGCCGUGCACGGCACUUGCUCUCAGAGUCACGCUCCUCGGAAUUGGAGCGUAAAUUGGGUGGUAAAUUUCAUCUAAAGCUAAAUACAGGCUCGAGACCGAUAGCAAACAAGUACCAUGAGGGAAAGAUGAAAAGGACUUUGAAAAGAGAGUUAAAAGUGCUUGAAAUCGCUGAACUGGAAGCGAAUGGAACUAGUGCUCUUGUUGAGAUUGCUGCAAGUGGCUGCGACAUCUGGGCUC
rnacentral:rRNA from 1 species